rnacentral:lncRNA from 1 species
AUUCAAUCUAGUCAAGAAAAUUCGUAUUACCAAUCCGAGUUUUCCGUUUGACGUACAUCAUGAUGGCAAAGUCUUUGUCACUCCUUGCAUCCAAUUUAAUAGCAAAAAUGCUAUUACAAGAUUAUCAAACUACUAUUUAAGAAGCAUACAAAAGAUUAUAUAUAUAAGAAAAUUCAUACAUGUGUCAUGACCACAUCGUUGUAGUAAUUCUCGAUAUAAGAUGCUCCAAAAAUAUCUUUCCUAUAGAAGAGGAUAAAAGAUGUUAGCUUUACUUAAAAUAGAUGGACGUAAUUCUUAUGGACAUCAAAUCUUGUCUAGAUACAAAGUCCUGUAUGAAAGCUUACACAUUUAUGAAAUAAUUUGCAUCUGAAAUGCACUUUACUUUAGCGCCCUUAGGAACAAGAGAUCUAAAGUUAUCACAAUACAAAAUUUAUGUCAACCCACUAGCUAAAUAUCCAGACACAACAGCUGUGUAUGAAUACUAAAAGUGACUAAUGUUUGAUUCAAUAAAAAAUAAAGGAACAUUCAUAGGAAAAAUUUGUACAUUUUCAGCUUUCUUCAUUCCUUUCUCCAAUAGCUCCUCCAUAUCAACAAGAAAGAUCCUUGCUCCCCUGAAGUAAAAUUUGAUGGCCUAAUCGAUUUUGACGAGAAAAAUACUACACCAAAAAAACCAUCCACUAUAGUUUUCAAAAAUGCCGUUAAAUUAUAUCCAUCUAUCCAUUCCAAGAAAACUCAGUAAAAUAUGAGAAAAAAUAAUCUUAUGAACAUGAUGACUUACAAGAUUCACUGCUCCUACAUCC